UACGAAGGGGGCUAGCGUUGUUCGGAAUCACUGGGCGUAAAGGGCGCGUAGGCGGCUGUUCAAGUCGGGGGUGAAAGCCUGUGGCUCAACCACAGAAUUGCCUUCGAUACUGGACGGCUGGAGACCGGAAGAGGUCAGUGGAACUGCGAGUGUAGAGGUGAAAUUCGUAGAUAUUCGCAAGAACACCAGUGGCGAAGGCGGCUGACUGGUCCGGUUCUGACGCUGAGGCGCGAAAGCGUGGGGAGCAAACAGG
rnacentral:rRNA from 1 species